CCCGUCGCCCUGCAGCUGGCUGAGGCGCUCUGGCAACUCUUUGACAAUGACAACAGCCUUGUGCAGCUGCUCUCCGUUCGCCUCUUCCAAGAGCUGAUGAAGCUGGUGGUGGCCAAGGGAAAAAAAGCCCCUGAAGAAGCGUGUGAGCAAGAGCCUGCUCCCACUCUUCUUCAACUGCCAUGAUGAGAACCAGCGUGUGGCACAGGCCUCUCGGGAAACGCUGCUUUCUGCAGUCAAGUUCCUGAAGAGAAGGGAUCUUCAGCACCUGGUGAAGACGGAUCAGAUGUGGAGCUUUGCCGAGUGCUUGCUGGCAGAGGACAGGAGCCGAGCG